rnacentral:rRNA from 1 species
UACGUAGGUGGCAAGCGUUGUCCGGAUUUACUGGGCGUAAAGCGUGCGCAGGCGGUUCGCCAAGUCAGGUGUGAAAUCCCCGGGCUUAACCUGGGAAUUGCGCUUGAAACUAGCGGGCUUGAGUGCGGCAGAGGAAGGUGGAAUUCCACGUGUAGCGGUGAAAUGCGUAGAGAUGUGGAGGAACACCGAUGGCGAAGGCAGCCUUCUGGGCCAACACUGACGCUCAUGCACGAAAGCGUGGGGAGCAAACAGG